UGGGGAAUAUUGGACAAUGGGCGCAAGCCUGAUCCAGCCAUGCCGCGUGAGUGAUGAAGGCUCUUGGGUUGUAAAGCUCUUUCACCGGGGAAGAUAAUGACGGUAACCGGAGAAGAAGCCCCGGCUAACUUCGUGCCAGCAGCCGCGGUAAUACGAAGGGGGCUAGCGUUGUUCGGAGUUACUGGGCGUAAAGCGCACGUAGGCGGACUUUUAAGUCAGGGGUGAAAUCCCGGGGCUCAACCCCAGAACUGCCUUUGAUACUGGAAGGCUUGAGUAUGGUAGAGGUGAGUGGAAUUCCGGGUGUAGCGGUGAAAUUCGUAGAUAUUCGGAGGAACACCAGUGGCGAAGGCGGCUCACUGGACCAUUACUGACGCUGAGGUGCGAAAGCGAGGGGAGCAAACAGG
rnacentral:rRNA from 1 species